CGGCGUGCCUAAUACAUGCAAGUCGAACGCACAGCGAAAGGUGCUUGCACCUUUCAAGUGAGUGGCGAACGGGUGAGUAACACGUGGACAACCUGCCUCAAGGCUGGGGAUAACAUUUGGAAACAGAUGCUAAUACCGAAUAAAACUUAGUGUCGCAUGACACAAAGUUAAAAGGCGCUUCGGCGUCACCUAGAGAUGGAUCCGCGGUGCAUUAGUUAGUUGGUGGGGUAAAGGCCUACCAAGACAAUGAUGCAUAGCCGAGUUGAGAGACUGAUCGGCCACAUUGGGACUGAGACACGGCCCAAACUCCUACGGGAGGCUGCAGUAGGGAAUCUUCCACAAUGGGCGAAAGCCUGAUGGAGCAACGCCGCGUGUGUGAUGAAGGCUUUCGGGUCGUAAAGCACUGUUGUAUGGGAAGAACAGCUAGAAUAGGAAAUGAUUUUAGUUUGACGGUACCAUACCAGAAAGGGACGGCUAAAUACGUGCCAGCAGCCGCGGUAAUACGUA
rnacentral:rRNA from 1 species